UACGUAGGGUGCGAGCGUUAAUCGGAAUUACUGGGCGUAAAGCGUGCGCAGGCGGUUUUGUAAGCCAGAUGUGAAAUCCCCGGGCUUAACCUGGGAAUGGCAUUUGGGACUGCAAGGCUCGAGUGCGGCAGAGGAGACUGGAAUUCCUGGUGUAGCAGUGAAAUGCGUAGAUAUCAGGAGGAACACCGAUGGCGAAGGCAGGUCUCUGGGCUGACACUGACGCUCAUGCACGAAAGCCAGGGGAGCGAACGGG
rnacentral:rRNA from 1 species